rnacentral:rRNA from 1 species
UCAGUUCGGAUUGGAGGCUGAAACCCGCCUCCAUGAAGUUGGAUUCGCUAGUAAUCGCGCAUCAGCCAUGGCGCGGUGAAUACGUUCCCGGGCCUUGUACACACCGCCCGUCAAGCCAUGGGAGCCGGGGGUGCCUGAAGUUCGUUACCGCAAGGAUCGACCUAGGGCAAAACUGGUGACUGGGGCUAAGUCGUAACAAGGUACC